GUUCCAGCGGAGGGUUAUAGAUCAUAAUAUCUUGCCAUUGUAAUGUCUUUAUCAGAUGAACACAACCGGGAAGACGGAAGGCUAUUGUGCCGUCUUGGCGUCCAAACAGGAGGCUCAUUUAUACUGGCCCGGUCGAGGUGUACUGUAUUUUUUUGACUCUGAGCCCCCCUCAUUAUGAGACGUGUCAUCAAUCUCACAACAGCCUCCCAGAAAACAAGAAAAAGAUCCUACUAAGCAUCAGUAAAAAGCGACCUUAUAAAAGCCAGCUGAUUGUAGGCUGCAUCCUGAUUGCAGACAUCUUCAAGGCGCCUCCCAGAAUCGAGGAGAAGUUCUAUUUUAAUUGCAUUUAGGAAGAGGUCAGGUCAGCUCUCUAGUUCCACAAGGGGGCUGAACCUCAGAGCACGGGAAGAAGGUUUUACUGUUUCGCAAACCUGCGAUGGUUUUACGUGGCACGUGGACACGGUUCCAAAAGCGUGGGCUCACAUCUGAGAACUUCUGUUUUUCCAUUCUUUCUCAGACUUUGAAAAAUGCCUGUAGGAGGGAGCCUUCGCUGAGGACUGGCAGAUUUUUUUUUUGGCCAUCCCUUACCAACCGCCUUUCCUAACAGAGAGCAAGCAGCUCUUAAAGCCAGAACUGAGGAGAGCGCUGGUGGUUAGCUUCCUUUUCAUUAUGAUAUUUUGUUUCCAAGUGUUUAUUUUUACAGUUCCCUCUGAUUUUUUUUUUUUUUUUUUUUUUUAGGGCAAGCAAUACUGGUUUCUCAUUUAAUGUAGCGGUUUAAAUUUCUUUAACAAAUCACUUCGUUUAAUUUUUUUUUUCCAGUGGGUUGAUUUAAACACAAAGAUUAAGUUAAUAAUAGGGCACGUGGUGCCAAGGGUAAAAUAAUUCCGCAGUCGGCACCAGAGUCCCCGAGUUUGGAGCAGGCUGAUCAGUGACAAGCGGUCUCAGGGUUGGCCUCCGUCGGGGUCUCUGGUUUUAACAGUUCUCUGCAGAGAUGAUGGAUGGGAGGGGAGGUGUCUCAGACCAGAUGCUCUGAUGGCGUGAUGUUGGCCCGACUCUUCAGUGCUGUCCAGUGGCCGAUUCUUCUCUCUCCUUUCGUUUUCUCACUCGUUCUUUUAGGCCGUUGAGAAGUCUGUCCUCUAAAGCCCUUUCUGGAGCAAGCCUGAGUCCUUGAGAUUGAAAUGUCAAGUCAGAGUCUUUAGUGAGAUCUGCACUGCCCCCCGCCCCCACCCCAGGGGCCUGCCCUGUGCUCCAGUGAUAGCUAGCUGGGCAUCGUCCCCAGGCCAGCGGACCUAGGCGAGCCCCACUGUGUGCCCUCUUGGCAGGGAUUGGUAGCUGCCAGCCCUCGCCAGAGCUCCCAGAGAACCUCACGUCAAGACAGAGCUGUAGCUCUUUAAACAUUUGCCCUGUCCUCCCUUCAUGAUUCAUUUAUCCGCUUGCUUCUUCACUUAACACACAUUUAACACAUGCCUCCAAAGCCCCAGGCUCUCCCCUCGGCUCUGGAGAGAGAGUGGUGGCUGGUGGAGGCCUAGUUAAGCUCACCCAAGCCAUUGUGUGUGCUGCCAGCAAGCAGGCGGUGUUUAACUGCUGGCAGCCUACUCCUCGGCCUAGUAUUUCUGCGGUUGUUUGGAAGAGAACAGCAAUAACAGUAUCCACCAUAGCAGCAGCAACAGCUCAUUUCGCGAGAGCUCGUUAGGAGCCCCGCACCCAGCGCCCUUUGUGUGCGUUUCCUGACGUGACUCUCCAAGCCUCCCGCAGGGGGAGUGCUGCCCCUGUGUCUGUUACGCAGCUGAGGAAAGUGAGACCAGAGAGGGUGAGUUGUCCGAGGGCAUGCGGCCAGCCAGCGGGGGCGCUGGGGCCGGGCACGCCUGGGCAGCCCGCCUGCCGAACCACUUUGCUGCACUGUCUGUUGUUCUCAAUGGGCCAGAAACCGAGAUCCGAGACAGCGAGUGACUUUCGCAGGGUGCCUUGGCAGGUUGGUGGCAGAGGCAGCGCUUCAUCCGCUCUGACUCUCCGCUUGCUCCCCAGCACCAUGCCGCUCUCAUGGGAGCUGAGACGCACCGCCUCUUCACUCUCCCUCCAGUCCUGGUGUCAGAGCUCGCUGGAAGGAGGCCUUUAGCCGGGGACAGCCAACAGUUACAUAAGAGGACUGCCUUCCAAGUCUUAAUGGGACCAUUCGUUUUCAACUAUUAAGUAGUUCAGAAAUCAUCAAAGCCAACUGCCUUCUGUGAUCACCAAGCCCAAACUCUUGGAGAAAAGCGGUCGCCCCUUCUGCCCUAAUUCUGGAUUUUAACAAAUGAAUUCUGAAUUUCUGUACUCCUUGGUUCAGAAACAAAAGCAGUUUUCCUCUUAGCCAACCCCAUGCCAUGAACCCCCUUUCAUCAGUCUCUCUAGGGUCCAGUAUUUUACAUGGAUUUAGAGAAAUCAGCAUGAAAAUCCCGUACGACUUUCCCUUUGGAAGACCAGCAGGGCGAAGUCUUCCCCGGCCGGGCAGAUGACAGUUCAGCACUCACAGCUCCCGCCUUUCGACAUUAAGAUCUCCUUGUGUGUAAAACAUAAUGGCAAACGAAGGAGAGGCUACCCAUGCCGGACCCACUCCUUUCUGCGCCCUUGGACUGAGGAGAGGAAGAACCCGUCCACUGAAGUGCCACGUGGACGCGCGCCGAGUCCUGUCUGCGGGCACGCCAGGUGUCCGUGCGGGCACUUUUUACUGUGUGCGUCCCCUCGGGUCAUGCCCCAGCCCGGUGGUCUUGCCAUGCCAGGGCAGGCGGCAGUGUGUGUAGUCUGAGCCUGGAAAAGGUAGAAACGGGUGUAAAUGCAAACCUCUUUGGAAGAUGCAGCUCAUGGUACAGAUGAGCCAGUCUCUUUCCACCUUCCACCAGGAGGGCAUGUGGAUUCAGGCUUUUCUUGGAUAUUCUUCUUUAUGUUUUUUUUUGGGGGGGGUGUGGUGGCAUGGGGUGGGGACUGAGCCUUUUCAGAAUGAGCCCUGCUAACAGUGAUUAUGCAAAUCAUAAUUCCUUUCUGACAUUUGUUUAUUCCGUGCAAGGCAACACGCUCAGCACUUAUGCCCAUGUCCUCUCUCUAAUUCCUUACAGUCAUCCCCAGGCAUGACUCAUUUUAUCUUUGUUUCUCAGUGGAAAGGCUCCAGCUUCUCACCGAGAGGCCAACUCUCUUUCCUGACUUUAGCAAGUGGCAGAUCCCGAAUUGGAACCCGAGUCUGUCUGAAUCCACAGCGACCCCUCUUCUUGUUCCACGUCACCCUUGAGGUGUUUUCUUCAGUGUGGAUUUCUGGGUUGGUAGGAAUUACUGAGGACCAAUUUACUCAGAAAUACAGGGGCUGAACACCAUUCAAGGCAAUGAGUAUUCUGUUCUCUCAGUUUACUUAAAUCAGAAACCAAAUAAGGUCAAUGCAUCUUAGCCUGUAUGUUUUCCUCCGGCUUCUAAAUUUCUCUUUAUUUAGAGUGGCACAUGCGUUUCAAGGGCAGGUGUGUCCUCUAGAGUUUUCUGUGGUCUGUGUUUCACUGACUGUACCCCGGUGGUAUCAUUCAGCUGGUUCUUUUGUCUUCUCUGCUUCCUGUGAAAUGGUAGCCAAGGCUGAAGGCUCAAAUUCCUGUUUAAUUUUUGUUUGGCAAGAAUGCUCGGUAGGUGGUGGUGUUGUCUUCAAGCCAGUUUUUGUAAGGCUCUGCACGCCCCGACCAACGCAUCCCUGCGCCCACGUGGUCUGUCUGUCUGCCCGCUCCCCUUCACCCCCCAUUCCUCCUGGCCCCCUUCACUCCUUCUUCUGGGUGGUCAGCCCAGGGGGCCUCAGUGCUCCCAGGGCACUUCUCCCCAGCCUCAGUGGUGGUAGUGGUCGGCCAGAGUGUCUCAGGUCCAAUUAUUUUGGGGCAUUACUGGAAAGUUCCAAACCGAAGCCUGUGGUAAGUCCCAGCCAGUCUUGAGUUUUGCAGGAUAUAUUUGUUGAAACCGCAGUCCUGGAAAGCAGCCAGCCUCCGUGCUCCUGCUGCCCGGCUGGUCAGGGCCUCCGUCAGAAUGCGAGGAGCUCGGACCCUUCCUGAUGAUUCCGACCGAGCAUCAGGAUUUUCUGUAGUGGGCUCUGAAGCCAGUAGGGUGUUGUUUGGGAUACCUUUGCACAGUUUCAUUCAUGAUACUAACUGCUUAAUUUACCGAAAAGCAUUUAUUUUGAACAGGCCCUGUAACAACAGUUCAGGGGCUUCUAGACUUCUGUAAAUAUAUAUAUAUACAUAUAUAUAUGUAUAUAUAUAUAUGUAUUUCCUUUAUCAGAUACUGUUUUAUGGUUUGAGUUCUAUAUUUUCCUGAAAUAAUGGACACCUGGAUUCCAGUUUUGAAAUUUGAAAACUUUCAGUAAUGGCACAUAAUAUAGGAAAUUUAUUGCUUGGCUUUCAGUUACCAAUCAGCUCUUAUAAUAUCAUCUAACGUCUUUGAUUCAUCUUAGCAAUUAAUGGAAGUUGAUCAUAACAUAAUUUUAAAAUAACACUUGCAAUUCUAAAGAUUUCUAGAACUUUGUUUUGAUCAUGGAUCUCUACUUUCUCUUUUCAUCUUCCUGUCUCCAGCAGAAUUUAAGGAAAUCAGGCUUUAUUUCACUUAAAAAUACUUAAAAUACUUUCACUUAAAAAUUGGAUAGUGGUGUUUAAAGAAAAAUCCAAAGAAUACUUUUUCAGUUUCCUCUUUACUGUUUAUACAUUUGAGGGAGAAAUCUUAAGAAAGUUAUUUAUUUUCACUUUUUAGAACUUGAAAAUUCAGGACUUUCAGAAAGGACUAAUCCCAGAUUUAAUUUUCUUGGAUUCUUAUUUCCAAUUUUGCUGUCUCCAGUCCUUCUACAGAAGUGGGUGGGCUAUAAAUUAUAAAUAAAUCCCAAAUUUUGAGAGUUAAAUUACCCUGCAAGACCAAUGUGUAAAUUACAGCUUAAUCUUUCUUCUUCUCCUCAGUUUGGUUUUAAGAAUAACUUUUAGCCCAUGUAUCUCUGUUACUUUUUGCUGAACAUGAGAAAUCCAUUUCUGGUUUUUGUAACAGAGUAUCAUGUUGCUUUGCUUUUCUGAACAGUUUGAAAACUAAAAGAAAAGAAAAACAGAGAGCAGAUUUUUUUUUUUUAGCUGUAAUAAACUCUCUAAAUCUAGAUCUUAAUUAUGGUGUCUUACGAAAAAUUUUUCAAAGUCUACAAGUUGAUUUUUCCCCAUCCCCUACAUUUUCCACCUUGAGGUAUUAAAAAACCAUACUGUGAAGCAUUUAACGUGUCUAGAAACAUCAGAGAAGGCUUCCAUCCAGAGUAGAUGUUUUGCCUUCUGAAGCUUAACUCUUUAGGCAUCAAAUGUUCUUACAUAAUUCUUUAAAACAAUAUUUGUGAAACAGAUGGUGUUCUGUCAUCCCUUAUUAAAGAAAAAUACGAGCACAGAGAGUAUAGUGCAGGGGUCACUUUUCUGAGAAGGGCCAGAGAGGAAGCACCUCCGACUUCUCGGGCCGUAAGUUCAUCUGUGUCAGCGGGCAGCAGCAGACAGUACUUACACGGGUGAACAUGGCUGUGUCCCAGUAAAAGUUUACUUCCAAAAGCAGAAAACGGGCUGGGUGUGUCCGAGGGCCACGGUGCAUGUUGAGCAGGUCCCCGCACAGACUUGUCAGGCCUGUUGAGAAG